rnacentral:rRNA from 1 species
CCUACGGGUGGCAGCAGUGGGGAAUCUUUCACAAUGGGGGAAACCCUGAUGCAGCAACGCCGCGUGGAGGAUGAAGGCCUUCGGAUUGUAAACUCCUUUUGUUAGAGAGGAUAAUGACGGUAACUUACGAAUAAGCACCGGCUAACUCCGUGCCAGCAGCCGCGGUCAUACGGAGGGUGCGAGCGUUAUCCGGAGUCACUGGGCGUAAAGAGUGCGGUGGGGGGAUAGGAAGAUAGCUGUGAAACUCGGUGGCUAAACCAUAGGACUGCAUUGGAAACUGUUAGGCUAGAGAAUGUGAGGGGUAAGUGGAAUUCGUGGUGUAGGGGUGAAAUCCGUAGAGAUCAAGAGGAAUACUCAUGGCGAAGGC